CCUACGGGUGACAGCAGUGAGGAAUAUUGGUCAAUGGACGAGAGUCUGAACCAGCCAAGUAGCGUGAAGGAUGACUGCUCUAUGGGUUGUAAACUUCUUUUAUAUGGGAAUAAAAUGCUCCACGUGUGGGAUUUUGUAUGUACCAUAUGAAUAAGGAUCGGCUAACUCCGUGCCAGCAGCCGCGGUAAUACGGAGGAUCCGAGCGUUAUCCGGAUUUAUUGGGUUUAAAGGGUGCGUAGGUGGAUUGUUAAGUCAGUUGUGAAAGUUUGCGGCUCAACCGUUAAAUUGCAGUUGAAACUGGCAGUCUUGAGUACAGUAGAGGUAGGCGGAAUGCAUGGUGUAGCGGUGAAAUGCUUAGAUAUCACGAAGAACACCGAUUGCGAAGGCAGUUCACUGAACUGCAACUGACACUGAGGCUCGAAAGUGUGGGUAGCAAACAGGAUUAGAGACCCGGGUAGUC
rnacentral:rRNA from 1 species